UCCACGCUGUAAACGGUGCGCACUAGAUGUGGGCGGUACUUCUGGUCCCGUCUGUGUCCAAGCCAACGCGUUAAGUGCGCCGCCUGGGGACUACGGCCGCAAGGCUAAAACUCAAAGGAAUUGACGGGGGCCCGCACAAGCGGUGGGGCAUGUGGCUCAAUUCGAGGCAACGCGAAGAACCUUACCUGGGUUUGACAUAUGCCGGACCGUCCCGGAAACGGGGCUUUCCUCUU
rnacentral:rRNA from 1 species